AUUACGUGUAGUGCCACGAGGCAUAAUCGUAAAGAUUAAGAACGAGAAAAUCAGAUUAGGAUUGGAUAAUAAGGACUUAGACCGAAGAGGGUCUAUUGGAAUUAUCGUAGGAUAAUAAUUUAAAUGGAAAAUUAUUAUGCGAUGAAUUGGAUUUAAUCGGGACAAAAAUGGAAUGAGAUAAAAUAAGUUGGAAAGCCAGAGUUAAUAAUAUUCACGUCAAGGUCCGUGAAAUAUUAUUAAUAAAUGAUCGUCAAGUUUCGUAAGUGUACGAAAUCGUUUUAGAAGAAAGUUUGACGGUUAGUUAAGAAUAAGGGUUAAAGUGCAAAUUAGCCACUUAAGGGCUAAAGUGGACUUUUAACCACAAACUUCCGAAGGAAGUUAUGUUUUACUCUAUUUUCUCAAGAUAAGAAAAUAAUAUCGAUAAAGUGGUUAUCGAUAGUCAUUAAUAUGAAAAUUGGACGAAAAAGUGAGAAAAAGUGCAAAUUAGCUCAAAAUAGAAAUUUGAGCGUUUUUGGCCAAAAUUGCCAAAAUAAAUUGUUGAAAAGUGAUAUUAUAAGAUAUGAUACUAAUAUUAUUUAUUUGGAAAAUAAAUAAUACGGAAUUCAUCGAGAAUCGAAUAAUUAAAGGAUUAGUGGACUAAAUUGGACGAAAGAAAAGUUAGAAGUUAGAGGUUGAGGAGGUGGCAAACUCAAGGACUAAAGGAGACUUUUGUCUCAUUUAUCUAAGCCACUUGCAUAUGAGUUUAAACUCAGCAAGCUUAUCAUUUUCAGCUCCCAAAUUUCGUACUCCAUCCUUUCUCCAUGGAAGAUCAUCAACCAAAUUUCAAAGGAGCAUAACUUCUUCGUUUCUCAACGAAAUUGGACGAUUCUUGUGGCCACGGAACGAGAAGAAGGAGAGCUACUGAUCUAGCCCUAUUGUUCAAGGUGUUCUUGAGUUGAAUUGAAGCAAAGUUGAUGGUGAAUUUGAGCUUGAAGUGUUUGGCCAUGAUCAACAAUCCAAGACUCGACGAAGCGACUAUCGACAAGGCUUGAGGGGAACGGAUCGAGAUGUCUUCGUGUUUAUUUAAAGAUUAUGGAUAGCAAGUGGGAUAGUAUGAUAUGAUUUGAAGAGUCAAGCUUCCGAAGUUUUAAUUCUCGGAACUCAUUUGCACAAGAAGUGAAAGAAGGUUUUCAUUCUAGCGGUCCGCAGUAGUCUAGAUGUUUUUUUCUAUGUAUUUGUCUAGCGCAUUCUAACUCUGAUAUUUUUGUAAAAUGGGGUCACAUGUAUUUUGAUAUAUGAAAAAUGAUUUGAUUUACGAAAAAUUUACACAGGAUUUUAGGCUUGCUACGGGUUUCGGAGCUACCACUCCCAUUCCCUAGCGCCGGUCGCGACUCAUAAAUUUGGGUCGUGACAAAGGUGGUAUCAGAGCAAUGGUUUAGAUUCAUAGGCCAUUGCCUGUAUACGAUUGAUGUUUGUAGUUCCUAGGUAUGAUGUCAAUAGGUUAAGCUAAGAACUACUGCGGAUUAUAGGAAUUUCCAGUCAUGUCUUUUGAACGUUAUCAUCUUUUUCAUCGAUUUUUCAAUCAUUUUACAAAGACGUCCCCUCCUAUAUGUGCUAUUAGGAGUCGAGUUAGGAAUGUGCAUGAGCACAAUUUAUGUUUUGUGUUUACUCGAGUAAGGAAUAUGCUUUCGAGUAUCUAUAGUCUGCGAAGAGUUAUAUACUCUCGAGACUCAUAUUAUAUAAGAACGUCGUUAUGAAUCGCAAUGGUUUUGAAUUGAUUGAAUGGUAUAUGAUGGAUGAAAUAUGUAUUGCUUUGCAGCGCGAUCACUCAGGAGAGUGAUAUGCUCACAAGUAUGUAAGCCUGUGAUAAUUUAUAUUAUACAUGAAAUGUAUAUAUUAUAAUCGAUUGUUAUGAAUAGAAAUAGUUCUUAUGGUUAAAUGCUGCAAAGUUUGCUAAGUCUAUGUUGAGAGAAAUGCUCGCAAGACAUAAGAUAGGCGACGUAGCCAAGGAAAAUCUAGGAGACGUAGAUUUUAUUUGAACUCGAUCAAUAUAGAUGUAUAUAGAUUGCGAACGAUAGUACGAUAAAUGAUAAGAAAUAAUAGUUAUACAGAGUCUGAUGUCAAAGAAACUUACAUAAAACCCGUUUUAUUAGAAGAAAAGUAUUUGAUUUGAAUGAGAUGUUUUGAAAAGACAUAAUUGUGCCCGGACACGAUUCAUAACAACAUCGCAUUGACACGAAUAGAAUUGCAUCACUACAUCCAUAUUGCAUUCACUAAUAGGACAUGCAUCAUAUACAUUGUGUAUGUUUGAAAAUGAAAAAGAGGAGUAUCAUUGCAACUCUUGUGAUGAGAGAAGUCAUCACACCGGCGCACAAUUAUGACAUGAUUUGAGAAAUGAAAAGUAUCGUGAUUUUAAACGGAUGAGUUUUCCAACGUAAGUAAGCUCAGACAGAGACUCUGUAUAUAGAGGCAUAGAACAAGACUGAUCACCUUGUUAGGCCUAUAUGAAAACAUAUGUAUGUAACACGACAAGUAUAUAGAACGACGAGUAGUGUAAUGCGAAUCGCAACGUGUCGAGAUUUGAAUUGCAAAUCUCUAAUGUCGGUCUUGUAUAUUAAAUACAAGAACAACGACGCUACUUUACAAACAUGUAAAGUGAUAGCGGCCAUGAUUAAACUCGAAGCACGUUUACCUCUAGGACGAGGAAAUCGAACAUAGAAGUUAGUUACGUCAGGGGAUAUGAACCCUACGAACAAACAUAUGUUGUUCAAAAAGGUCGAAUAAAGAUAAUUAAUUCAUAAUAGUUAUGAAUCAAGAAGUAACAAGAUGGUUAGGAUUGUUAGCAUAAGAAGUUACUCGAUAAGUAUAUCGAGAUGACCGUAUAAACCUAAUUGUAAAGUCAACAGUUAGUGAAUAACUAAUCAGAGUAUCGCAGCGGAAGUGUGGAAGGAAGUGAAUGAUAAGGUUUGAACAAGGAUUGGUUAAGUGAUAUUAGAAGAUUAUGAAAAUUCGAGGACGAAUUUUUAUAAGGGGGGAAGAUUGUAAUAACCUAAAUUUUUGAGGUAUUACGUGUAGUGCCACGAGGCAUAAUCGUAAAGAUUAAGAACGAGAAAAUCAGAUUAGGAUUGGAUAAUAAGGACUUAGACCGAAGAGGGUCUAUUGGAAUUAUCGUAGGAUAAUAAUUUAAAUGGAAAAUUAUUAUGCGAUGAAUUGGAUUUAAUCGGGACAAAAAUGGAAUGAGAUAAAAUAAGUUGGAAAGCCAGAGUUAAUAAUAUUCACGUCAAGGUCCGUGAAAUAUUAUUAAUAAAUGAUCGUCAAGUUUCGUAAGUGUACGAAAUCGUUUUAGAAGAAAGUUUGACGGUUAGUUAAGAAUAAGGGUUAAAGUGCAAAUUAGCCACUUAAGGGCUAAAGUGGACUUUUAACCACAAACUUCCGAAGGAAGUUAUGUUUUACUCUAUUUUCUCAAGAUAAGAAAAUAAUAUCGAUAAAGUGGUUAUCGAUAGUCAUUAAUAUGAAAAUUGGACGAAAAAGUGAGAAAAAGUGCAAAUUAGCUCAAAAUAGAAAUUUGAGCGUUUUUGGCCAAAAUUGCCAAAAUAAAUUGUUGAAAAGUGAUAUUAUAAGAUAUGAUACUAAUAUUAUUUAUUUGGAAAAUAAAUAAUACGGAAUUCAUCGAGAAUCGAAUAAUUAAAGGAUUAGUGGACUAAAUUGGACGAAAGAAAAGUUAGAAGUUAGAGGUUGAGGAGGUGGCAAACUCAAGGACUAAAGGAGACUUUUGUCUCAUUUAUCUAAGCCACUUGCAUAUGAGUUUAAACUCAGCAAGCUUAUCAUUUUCAGCUCCCAAAUUUCGUACUCCAUCCUUUCUCCAUGGAAGAUCAUCAACCAAAUUUCAAAGGAGCAUAACUUCUUCGUUUCUCAACGAAAUUGGACGAUUCUUGUGGCCACGGAACGAGAAGAAGGAGAGCUACUGAUCUAGCCCUAUUGUUCAAGGUGUUCUUGAGUUGAAUUGAAGCAAAGUUGAUGGUGAAUUUGAGCUUGAAGUGUUUGGCCAUGAUCAACAAUCCAAGGUGAGACUCGACGAAGCGACUAUCGACAAGGCUUGAGGGGAACGGAUCGAGAUGUCUUCGUGUUUAUUUAAAGAUUAUGGAUAGCAAGUGGGAUAGUAUGAUAUGAUUUGAAGAGUCAAGCUUCCGAAGUUUUAAUUCUCGGAACUCAUUUGCACAAGAAGUGAAAGAAGGUUUUCAUUCUAGCGGUCCGCAGUAGUCUAGAUGUUUUUUUCUAUGUAUUUGUCUAGCGCAUUCUAACUCUGAUAUUUUUGUAAAAUGGGGUCACAUGUAUUUUGAUAUAUGAAAAAUGAUUUGAUUUACGAAAAAUUUACACAGGAUUUUAGGCUUGCUACGGGUUUCGGAGCUACCACUCCCAUUCCCUAGCGCCGGUCGCGACUCAUAAAUUUGGGUCGUGACAAUGACUCUAAGAACUCGCAUCAUUUUGAAAAAGAUGUAGUUGACCCUUAUGAGGAGGAUGGUGCGCUUGUAAUAGUAAGGCCAUAAGGAAUUGUGCCCCAGAUGGUUGAAUAAUUUGAAAAAUUUAUCGCUUCUCUUGAUCACAAAAAUUCAGAGG